AUUGUAUUCGGUGGGAUCGACCGCUCAUUGUGGGAUUUGGUGAGGGGAAGGCAUGCGGCUUACACAGAGGAGGAGAGAGAGAUGGGGGGGGAGAAAGCGUUCUGCAGCUCGCUAGCGGUCUUCGUUCAGAUCCAGGUCACUUCUCUCUAUGGUGGUCCCUUAGAGUUUACGUUUAUCGUGCAAAGCACAGAAGACCCUGCUUAUCGGGCUGUAUCUAUGCUACUAUCAAAGCUUAAGGACGAGGUUGAUGUUAAGAUUGUUGUGGCUGGUAUUUCAACAACCUGCAGUCAGAAAAUUCACAACCAGUUGCUGCCUUGAUCAUUAGGUGGUGAUAUUUGAGAGAUUGGGUCAUCUGGUUGUUUGGAUUUAAGUGGGAUUGAGCAAAAAACCUUGCGGCGAGCAAACAGGCACAACCAAUUCUGCCAGAAUUGCUGGAGAAUUCCACAACCAAGGUCAUCGAGUACGGCCGGAAGCAUGUUGAGGGUCUAGACGGCGAUAGCACCGAUGUUGGCAAGAGCGGCGACCCCUUUUCUAGAUUGUUGGGUCCAAAAGAAGAAGAAGAAGGAGUGAACAACAUGAAAUUGGCUUUGGAAAAGCCAAAGACAUUCUCGACGAUGAUGAUAAUUGAGUUCAGGAUUUUGAUUCACCCCGAACAACAAGGACGGAUAUGCUGUCUAUGCCAACAAGGGGGUAAGGCUAUGUUGGAGCAAAAACUGUGCAGGCAAAGACAUAAGAGUGAUGGAUUUUGGAAUGAAAUGCAGAGGAUAUCAUUUUAUGCUGCUUAAGAGAGCUCAGCAUGAGGGUGCUGUUGGUUUACCUUGCCUGGAAGUGUUGCAGUGCGGGGUUGUUCAAGAAAAAAGGUUUUAAAGGAUCCUUUGCAGAUGCAGGAUCUUCUGCUGCGAUUGUGUGAGCCGUUGCUUCAGCCAAAACAGGUGCUCUCUCCAUUUUUCAUCUCUUCCAUACUCAAACCCUAGCUGCUCCACCUCUCUCUCCCACACAUAAGCAAACUCCAUCUGAAAGCCGAAGAAUCCAAAGGAACAACAGGGAUUGUAGACUACACAAACUUAGAAGAUACGAAGUACGCGAUCAAAAAGCUUGAUGGCUCUGAGUUUUGAAAUGCUUUUGACCGCCAAUCUGUUCGCUGGUGCUGUUUAGGGUUUAACUAUUUGAUUUCACAGAUUCAUUUCAGACACGGUUGGUGAAGGACAUGGGGAGAAGAGCACUUUGGAAAUGGUAAGGUGCACAAAUAUGGGAAAAGCACGACAGGGGAAAGCUGGGAUAUUGUUGUGGAUGAGGAGACCUAUUACGAGGCUGAGCUGUGAAUUAAACCUCGAGAAAGGCCACCUGGCCCCCUUGAUUUUGGAUCGUCGUCGCUUUCAGUUGGUGAACCACCAGAUGAAUUUUCUCCAAUAUCGUGCGGCUCAAAAAAAUUUGUGUAGCAUCUGCUUGGAAAAAGGUUUCAAGUUUAAUGUCUGUAUGUGUUAUUACUCUUCACUGAUUGUCAAGAACCAGGAUUAAAGAAAAGCAUCCUUUAAAGUUUAAACUGGAAGGGGGCAGGUUAUAAAUUACAGGUUGAUUCACAUUCUGGGGUGUAAUAUAGUUGGUGUGUUGGGGCUGAUCGUGGAGAUUCUGAUUACUCGAGAAGGUCCAUUUCUUGAAAUAGCUUGCAUCCUUAUUGCUGGUUUGACAAUCAUUCUGUGGCUAAUUGUGGUCGUCUCAGAAUGCACGGGCUAAAUCCUUAUGACCUAAUACUUCUGCCGUCCACGAUAUUGGAUUUAUUGCCAUGAAUGCACAUUUGCCUUCAGAAGGCAAUUUGAUGUUCCUUUCUAUGCUACUUUGUUAUUGCCAGUUUGCCACUAUCUUGGGCUAAGAUCUAACUUUUUCACUCUAACGGAAUGUUCCGUGCAGACUGGGGGUUAUUACAUAGCAUUUUUACUCACUUAAAGAGAUCUGUUUUACUUUCUGAUCAGUUUGAGUGAAUAAUUCCUUGUGAACUUGGAAAUCUCUCAAGUCUAAGUGUUGUGCACCUCGGUUGAUAUGAAUUUUGAGAUAUUAGAAGAGCAAAUGAUUGUUAGAGUUGUGGAUUAAAUCAUUUACUUGUUUGAUAAGCCUAGCUAGCUACGAAGGGUCGUUAGUCUUAGCCACGACUUGUACGAAGGACUGUUCCCAGUUCCUGGUGUUGCUGGUGAAAUGGUAUGGAAUUUGUUUAUGGUAUGGAACUUGAUGAUGUUGAAAUGGCAUGGAUUUUGUUUAUGGUUUUACCAAUUACACAAACUGAGUCGUUUUUGCUCUUAUCGGUUGGAGUUUUAUGAGUUGUAUCUGGUGUGCCUUGCCAUGAAUAGUGAAGGAUCAUUGACUCUCUACUUCUUAGCAGUAGCUGGAUAGUCUUUCAUAUACAAUUGGAUCAUGAUAAUGUUUUGAGGCAUUUCAAAUUAUUCCACAUGUAAAUAGUUUUGAAUUCAGAGUUUAGUCUUUCAAUUUCAAGCUGGCAUAUGAUCUUUGAAUAU